rnacentral:rRNA from 1 species
GUGGGGAAUUUUGGACAAUGGGCGCAAGCCUGAUCCAGCAAUGCCGCGUGCAGGAUGAAGGCCUUCGGGUUGUAAACUGCUUUUGUACGGAACGAAAAAGCUCUCUCUAAUACAGGGGGUGAAUGACGGUACCGUAAGAAUAAGCACCGGCUAACUACGUGCCAGCAGCCGCGGUAAUACGUAGGGUGCAAGCGUUAAUCGGAAUUACUGGGCGUAAAGCGUGCGCAGGCGGUUUUGUAAGACAGAUGUGAAAUCCCCGGGCUUAACCUGGGAACUGCGUUUGUGACUGCAAGGCUGGAGUACGGCAGAGGGAGGUGGAAUUCCACGUGUAGCAGUGAAAUGCGUAGAGAUGUGGAGGAACACCGAUGGCGAAGGCAGCCCCCUGGGCCUGUACUGACGCUCAUGCACGAAAGCGUGGGGAGCAAACA